GACGAACGCUGGCGGCGUGCUUAACACAUGCAAGUCGAGCGGAAAGGCCCUUUCGGGGGUACUCGAGCGGCGAACGGGUGAGUAACACGUGAGUAACCUGCCUUCAGCUUCGGGAUAACCCCGAGAAAUCGGGGCUAAUACCGGGUAUUCAAAGUGUCCCGCCUGGGGCUGUUGUGGAAAGGGUUUGACCGGCUGGGGAUGGGCUCGCGGCCUAUCAGCUUGUUGGUGGGGUAGUGGCCUACCAAGGCGACGACGGGUACCCGGCCUGAGAGGGCGACCGGCCACACUGGGACUGAGACACGGCCCAGACUCCUACGGGAGGCAGCAGUGGGGAAUAUUGCGCAAUGGGCGGAAGCCUGACGCAGCGACGCCGCGUGGGGGAUGACGGCCUUCGGGUUGUAAACCUCUUUCAGCAGGGACGAAGGGUGACUGACGGUACCUGCAGAAGAAGCUCCGGCUAACUACGUGCCAGCCGCCGCAGUAA
rnacentral:rRNA from 1 species